rnacentral:rRNA from 1 species
GGGUUGUGAGGUUAAGCGACUAAGCGUACACGGUGGAUGCCCUGGCAGUCAGAGGCGAUGAAGGACGUGCUAAUCUGCGAUAAGCGCCGGUAAGGUGAUAUGAACCGUUAUAACCGGCGAUUUCCGAAUGGGGAAACCCAGUGUGACUCGUCACACUAUCAUUAACUGAAUCCAUAGGUUAAUGAGGCGAACCGGGGGAACUGAAACAUCUAAGUACCCCGAGGAAAAGAAAUCAACCGAGAUUCCCCCAGUAGCGGCGAGCGAACGGGGAGGAGCCCAGAGCCUGAAUCAGCAUGUGUGUUAGUGGAAGCGUCUGGAAAGGCGCGCGAUACAGGGUGACAGCCCCGUACACAAAAGCGCAUGUGUUGUGAGCUCGAUGAGUAGGGCGGGACACGUGGUAUCCUGUCUGAAUAUGGGGGGACCAUCCUCCAAGGCUAAAUACUCCUGACUGACCGAUAGUGAACCAGUACCGUGAGGGAAAGGCGAAAAGAACCCCGGCGAGGGGAGUGAAAAAGAACCUGAAACCGUGUACGUACAAGCAGUGGGAGCCCCACCACUAAGCCAGUGGUGAACUCCACAUACGCAUCCUUUGCUGAAGGUGCGGUUAACGGAGCGCAAGCGACGUUCAACCUCAAAAGAAGCAGAGGGGGCUUAGUGGUGGGGUGACUGCGUACCUUUUGUAUAAUGGGUCAGCGACUUAUAUUCUGUAGCAAGGUUAACCGCAUAGGGGAGCCGGAGGGAAACCGAGUCUUAAUUGGGCGUUAAGUUGCAGGGUAUAGACCCGAAACCCGGUGAUCUAGCCAUGGGCAGGUUGAAGGUUGGGUAA